rnacentral:rRNA from 1 species
CAGCAGCCACGGUAAAACGGAGGGGGCUAGCGUUAAUCGGAAUUACUGGGCGUAAAGCGUGCGUAGGUGGUGGUUUAAGUCCGUUGUGAAAGCCCUGGGCUCAACCUGGGAAUUGCAGUGGAUACUGGAUCACUAGAGUGUGGUAGAGGAUAGUGGAAUUUCCGGUGUAGCAGUGAAAUGCGUAGAGAUCGGAAGGAACAUCUGUGGCGAAGGCGACUAUCUGGGCCAACACUGACACUGAGGCACGAAAGCGUGGGGAGCAAACAGGAUUAGAUACCCGAGUAGUCCCUGUCUCUUAUAC